ACGAGCUCAGGCCACAUGACUCAGCCUGUGCCACUACCCCUUUUCUUGGUCUCCCUUUUGGGAAAUCGUCAGUGAUUAGGAGCUCUAUGGUUACUGAGAGGGGACAGGGUAAGACGUGGCGUGGAGGCGGUUUCGGGCCUGAUUGCAGGUGUGCUACAGGUGACGGUGCCUUGUGCCCAGUGCACACACCCCCAGGACACCAAGGGGGACACCACAGUGAAUCCCUCCUGGGUGCUGGCUGCACAGGCCCAGGGUGACAUCUCACUGCGAGCGGCCACGUCCCUGUCACGUACGAUGACCAGGCCGACCUGUCUCCUAACGGCUGCACCAUGUGGUGAUGGGGAGCAGAGCAAUGCUGAAAGGGGAUUAUGUGAUAAAACUGACAAGCAUGGGGGACCACGUGGCAGGCCUGGCAAACUCAGACUGAAAGCAGCCCCGGCCCAGGCCGACAGCAGAGGUCAGUGCUUACCGGGCGUGAGCCCUGUCCCUGGUCUCUGCACCUAAGAUCACGUGUCAGUUUUCUCUUCUGGCUCCUCGAAGACACAACUACCAGCCGAGACCACAGAACCGUCAUCGCCCCCACACCGGCUCUGUGCUGUGCACUGGUAACUGUCUCCCCGUGCCGCCUUCCGUGUGACCCCAUCUCCUCGAGCCACCACCAGUGGAUUUCCUGUCAUCCUCCUCCUCUGACUCUAAGCUGCAAAACUGCCAUUCUCGGGGUGGUCACUUAGUGAGUUAUAGAAACGGGUAACCCAUGUGUUGCACACCUGAAAGCAAUAUAAUAACGUCACGUGUAAUUGAAAAAUAAAAAAUACCGUUUUGGGAGCAUUUUGCUUCCUGGCCAUCA